GACGAACGCUGGCGGCGUGCUUAACACAUGCAAGUCGAACGGAAAGGCCUGCUUUCUCUUGUGGAUUGCGGGUACUCGAGUGGCGAACGGGUGAGUAACACGUGAGUGAUCUGCCCCCAACUUGGGUAUAAGCCUGGGAAACUGGGUCUAAUUCCCGAUAGGACUGCAGGGUGGUGCCUGUGGUGGAAAACGAUUUUCUAGUGGUUGGGGAUGAGCUCGCGGCCUAUCAGCUUGUUGGUGGGGUAAUGGCCUACCAAGGCGGCGACGGGUAGCCGGCCUGAGAGGGUGGACGGCCACAUUGGGACUGAGAUACGGCCCAGACUCCUACGGGAGGCAGCAGUGGGGAAUAUUGCACAAUGGGCGGAAGCCUGAUGCAGCGACGCCGCGUGGGGGAUGACGGCCUUCGGGUUGUAAACCCCUUUCGACCGCGAGGAAGCCACCUGGUUGGAAGGGUGGUGACGGUAGUGGUAGAAGAAGCACCGGCUAACUACGUG
rnacentral:rRNA from 1 species